AACCCUUUCACAUUUAACCCUUUAUAGGGCUUCUACACAAACAAUAAACUUUGCUGGUAUCAGACUGUAUGUGUAGAAGCCCUAUAAAGGGUUAAAUGUGAAAGGGUU